GAUAGUUAAUAAUGAUGUUAUCAGUGAAAAUUAUAAAUAAUUAUCAGUACACUUAUUGAUACAACUCUACAUAAUUUGGUGCAAAAAAUAAAGACAUGAUAAAUAGAUAUGAAACGAUUCAGCAGAUACGGGACUUUUUCCAGAAAAAAAGUUAAAUUGUUUCCUGAGCGUCGUAUAUGAGGCACCUGGUAUAAAUGUCUGGUGGUGAUGUGCUUUAAUUGCAUGCAGGAAAAAAUGUAGGCUAAAUCGUGCGCACGAUUUACUAUUUCAUUCCCUCGAUUUGCUUAAUCGUGUACACUAUUUAUAAAUCGAGAGAACAAAUUAGUAAAUUGAGCGGACGAUUUAGCAAAUCGAUGAAAUGUAAAAGUAAUCGUGCACGUUUUAGUACAUUGAGGGAACGAAUUAGUAAAUCGUGGACACAAUUUAUUUUUUUCUUGCAUGUCAUUUGCGGGGCUCACUAUCAGAAGAUAAACCUAAACAAUAUUGCAAUUACCAAAGAACCAUAAUUCUUGAGCUUCUCAAAAGAUUAAAAAAAAACAUUCAUAAAGCGUAAAGAUAUGAAAAAUGAACAAUAUAGGGAUUUCUAGCAUCUCUCCUGUAUUAUUUGUCCCACCCCAAAAAAACAUAAACAGUUUAAGAAAAUGAGCAUAUUGACUUUCUCAGGAGAAUCUGUGAAUACUCUGAUAACGGACUGUGGAGAAGACUCUUUCAGUCAGUGCUGAGGAGGCAGAGUUAGGUGCUGGACAGCCGAUAGAGAAGAGGAAGAGGGUCUUUCUUACCCCAGCAGCAGAAGACAGGCUCUUCUGAGGGAAGGACAGGAGGCUCCUUCUCAGCACCUGAUCUUCUUCAGGAAAGAGUUCCUCUAGUGUAGAGUCAGAGACUCAGAUUUCUUGCAAACUGGAAUCUUUUAAUAACAUUUAGCAUAUUACUGUAGUCAUGUUCAUUGUUUUUAUUAUAACACAUGGCAAGUUUGAGAAAAUUGUCAAACAUGUUCUUCCUCCUCUUCUUCAUCCUGAGCCUGCACCGUCAAUAUCCUUCUCUGGCAGCUGAAAGGGAGGAUCAUCUUGUUAAUGUUGCUUAUGUAUGUACACAACCAGUCAGAAAUCUGGAAUCUUUUCUUUAUGGCUUUCAAGAGAAGUCUCUUCUGCUCACCA
ensembl:lncRNA